AGCGAACGCUGGCGGCAGGCCUAACACAUGCAAGUCGAACGAACCCUUCGGGGUUAGUGGCGGACGGGUGAGUAACACGUGGGAACGUGCCUUUAGGUUCGGAAUAACUCAGGGAAACUUGUGCUAAUACCGAACGUGCCCUUCGGGGGAAAGAUUUAUCGCCUUUAGAGCGGCCCGCGUCUGAUUAGAUAGUUGGUGAGGUAAAGGCUCACCAAGGCUACGAUCAGUAGCUGGUCUGAGAGGAUGACCAGCCACAUUGGGACUGAGACACGGCCCAAACUCCUACGGGAGGCAGCAGUGGGGAAUCUUGCGCAAUGGGCGAAAGCCUGACGCAGCCAUGCCGCGUGGAUGAUGAAGGUCUUAGGAUUGUAAAAUCCUUUCACCGGUGAAGAUAAUGACUGUAGCCGGAGAAGAAGCCCCGGCUAACUUCGUGCCAGCAGCCGCCGUAAAAC
rnacentral:rRNA from 1 species